CUCAUAUUCACACCUACGGUCAUUUUAGAAUCACCAAUUAACCAAAUUAAUCUUUGGACUGUGGGAGGAGGCUGGAGAGAGAGAACCCAAGCAGACACAGGGAGGAAAUUUAAACACCACACAGAAAGGCUCCAGGCUGGACUCAAACCCAGGACUUUGUUCCUGAUUGAAUUUUGUGAAUGGAAUUAGCCGACAUUACACUGUCCAAAGAAUUUGUGCUUCACUUUUGAUGAGGGCCUGUUUUAGUUUAGUCCCUGGAACUAAUUAGGAGGUAUUUGUGUCUCUGAAACGCGGCCGUGCAGAUUAUGAAUGUAGCUUGAUAACCAGUAUGGAUGACAUCAUGGCGGCUACGUCCAUCUUACACACAGAGUUUGUGGUUUUCAUACUUGAUUUUCCCUUUUGCCCUUUGCCUGCAUUUAUUCUCUCUUCCAUCCUCCUCAUCCCUCCCUUUCUUACUUCCGUGACUCCUGAACAGUCUGAUUGGUGUGACGGAUCACCCAGGCUUUGGCAUGGAUGGAUGCAUGGGUCAAUAUCUAUCUAAAGAGGAUUGGAGCUCAAAUGAAGGCUAGGCUACCUGAGAAAGCAGCCAACGGAGAAGAUGCUCAAA
rnacentral:lncRNA from 1 species